rnacentral:rRNA from 1 species
GAUGAACGUUGGCGGCGUGCCUAAUACAUGCAAGUCGAGCGAACAGACGAGGAGCUUGCUCCUUUGACGUUAGCGGCGGACGGGUGAGUAACACGUGGGUAACCUACCUAUAAGACUGGGAUAACUUCGGGAAACCGGAGCUAAUACCGGAUAAUAUUUCGAACCGCAUGGUUCGAUAGUGAAAGAUGGCUCUGCUAUCACUAAUAGAUGGACCUGCGCCGUAUUAGCUAGUUGGUAAGGUAACGGCUUACCAAGGCAACGAUACGUAGCCGACCUGAGAGGGUGAUCGGCCACACUGGAACUGAGACACGGUCCAGACUCCUACGGGAGGCAGCAGUAGGGAAUCUUCCGCAAUGGGCGAAAGCCUGACGGAGCAACGCCGCGUGAGUGAUGAAGGUCUUCGGAUCGUAAAACUCUGUUAUUAGGGAAGAACAAACGUGUAAGUAACUGUGCACGUCUUGACGGUACCUAAUCAGAAAGCCACGGCUAACUACGUGCCAGCAGCCGCGGUAAUACGUAGGUGGCAAGCGUUAUCCGGAAUUAUUGGGCGUAAAGCGCGCGUAGGCGGUUUUUUAAGUCUGAUGUGAAAGCCCCACGGCUCAACCGUGGAGGGUCAUUGGAAACUGGAAAAACUUGAGUGCAGAAGAGGAAAGUGGAAUUCCAUGUGUAGCGGUGAAAUGCGCAGAGAUAUGGAGGAACCCCAGUGGCGAAGGCGACUUUCUGGUCCGUAACUGACGCUGAUGUGCGAAGGCGUGGGGAUCAAACAGGAUUAGAUACCCUGGUAGUCCACGCCGUAAACGAUGAGUGCUAAGUGUUAGGGGGUUUCCGCCCCUUAGUGCUGCAGCUAACGCAUUAAGCACUCCGCCUGGGGAGUACGACCGCAAGGUUGAAACUCAAAGGAAUUGACGGGGACCCGCACAAGCGGUGGAGCAUGUGGUUUAAUUCGAAGCAACGCGAAGAACCUUACCAAAUCUUGACAUCCUUUGACCCUUCUAGAGAUAGAAGUUUCCCCUUCGGGGGACAAAGUGACAGGUGGUGCAUGGUUGUCGUCAGCUCGUGUCGUGAGAUGUUGGGUUAAGUCCCGCAACGAGCGCAACCCUUAAGCUUAGUUGCCAUCAUUAAGUUGGGCACUCUAAGUUGACUGCCGGUGACAAACCGGAGGAAGGUGGGGAUGACGUCAAAUCAUCAUGCCCCUUAUGAUUUGGGCUACACACGUGCUACAAUGGACAAUACAAAGGGCAGCGAAACCGCGAGGUCAAGCAAAUCCCAUAAAGUUGUUCUCAGUUCGGAUUGUAGUCUGCAACUCGACUACAUGAAGCUGGAAUCGCUAGUAAUCGUAGAUCAGCAUGCUACGGUGAAUACGUUCCCGGGUCU